UACUUGUUGAGCACUGGGCUAUGUUGCUGUUCUAGGUGCUGGGUGUGUCAGGGAACGAGAGAGUUGGAAAUCCUUGCUUUGUAGAAUGUGUGUGUUCAUGGGAUGAGGCGGAGGGAACACUGUAGAGUAAAUGUGACCAAUUCAUGGAUUUUAGGGCAUGCUGGAAAGUGUCAAGCACUGAGCUGACAGGAGACUGGUUCUCAAGCAGAGGAGCUUAAUCUCCAUCCCUUGGUCCAUGAGUUCCUGCCUCCAUAAGAAAAAUACCAGCACGGAACUUCUCCAUCCAUCGCCCGUCAGAGUAUGAACCCAGUGAUUCAUACUCUGAAUCAGAGUGAUGAUUUUCAUGCAGUGUUUUCUUGAAAUUUUACUGUUAGAAUGUUUGUUGCUAUUUCUUUCCCUUUUUCUGCUACUGUUUUCCAUUUCUGCAAACCUAAGUCAUUUCUUUUCUCAAUAAACCACAUCACAUUGGCCUCAAAAUCUCAUCAACAUCUCCUUUAUUUUUCUUAUCGGAAUGUGCCUCACCCAAAGAUGGAAUUGAAUCCGUAAAGUAAGACCCUGACGUUGGUUUGAGAUGGGUUUGGU